rnacentral:rRNA from 1 species
GACGAACGCUGGCGGCGUGCUUAACACAUGCAAGUCGAACGCUAAGGCUUUGUGCUUGCACUGUGUGGGUGUGUGGCGCACGGGUGUGUCAUACGUGUAUCACCUGCCUUUGACUCUGGGAUCUUCCUGGGACUCUGGGUCUUACACUGUAUAUGCCCUUCCUCUGUAUUGUGGUUUGGGGAAAGUGGUUUGGUGGUUAUGGAUGGGCGCACGGUCUAUCAGCUUGUUGGUGGGGUAGUGGCCUACCAAGGCAACGACGGGUAGCCGGCCUGAGAGGGUGACCGGCCACACUGGGACUGAGACACGGCCCAGACUCCUACGGGAGGCAGCAGUGGGGAAUAUUGCACAAUGGGCGGAAGCCUGAUGCAGCGACGCCGCGUGAGGGAUGACGGCCUUCGGGUUGUAAACCGCUUUCACCAGGGACGAAGCGUGAGUGACGGUAAUGGCAAAAGAAGCACCGGCUAACUACGUG